UUCUUCAGCACCACAGUUCAAAAGCAUCAAUUCUUCAGUGCUCAGCCUUCUGCUACGGGCUUCCCUGUGGCUCAGACAGUAAAGAAUAUGCCUGCAAUGCAGAAAACCUGGGUUGAGCCCCUGGGUUGGGAAGAUCCAUUGGUGGAGGAAAUGGCAACCCACUCUAGUAUUCUUGCCUGGAGAAUUCCAUGGACAGAGGAGCCUGGCGGUCCACAGUCAUGGUGUUGCAAAGAGUUGGACACAAGUGAGCGACUUAACAGUUUCACUUUCAGCUCUCACGUCCAUACAUGACUACUGGAAAAACCAUGGCUUUGACUAGAUGGACCUUUGUCAGCAAAGUGAUGUCUCUGGUUUUUAAUAUACUGUCUAGGUUUGUCACAGCUUUCCUUCCAAGGAGCAAGCAUCUUUUAUUUUCACGGCUGUGGUCGCCAUCCACAGUUAUUUUGGAGCCCAGGAAUAUAAAAUCUGUCACUGCUUCCAUUUUUUUCCCCUUCUGUUUGGCCUGAAGUGAUGGGCCUGGAUGCCAUGAUCUUGGUGUCUUGAUAUCAGAGAAAUGUAAGCUAUCACUACGAGGGGUAAUGCACUUAGGUGGCCUGGUUCCUUGUGGUGUUUAAAUGAUUGUACACCCAAUACAGACUGCUGGCCAGCUUUAAUUGGGAAGUUCCAGUAUUGGUGCUUUUAGGAGGGAGUAAAGGAAGAACUGUGCUGGUCAGGUUUGUAGUUGACGGGAAUCCGGUAAGGAAAGCUAGUACUACUCUGGAUAACAAACUCAGGAAAAAUUUUGAAAUGUCAGAAGUAUAUUGGAUCUAAAUCAGAAGCAAUUUGAUAUGAAUAAUUAUUCAGCCCAGCAGGAAUGUCCCAAAAGGCAAGCAGUAAACAAGAGAGGAGGAUGUGGUUCACUGCAGAACAGACAGGUCAGUUAAGUCGCUCAGUGGAGAACUGCCGUGUAACAUAUGAAAACUGUGAGUGGAGUUUAAGACUGCACUAUGAAAUCUGGAUAGGUGGUCUUGCCUGGUUAGAUCACAUGUGGAGUAUAGGGUCUGGUUUGAAAUUCCACACUUUUUUUAAAAAGGGAUUAGACAAGCUGGAGUUAUUCUCCUGGAGAAUAACUGAGGGGAAUCUUCUGAUUGAGUCAACUCCCCCAAGUUUUAUCUUCUUUGUAACAAAAGCACAGCUGGAUACUUCUGACAGGAAUUGGUUACCAACAAUGCUAAAGGUAAUGCAGACUGAAUGUGAAUAUUAUGGCCCUUUUUUUUUUUUAUUUGGAUUGGGCUAAUAAGUGGCUUUAUUAGAGAGAGCCAAGAUUCCAGAGGAUUUAAGAGCUGGCAUUGGGGUCUGUCUUGUCCCCAAAGGCGGGUUUGACACUGAUUAAGCGCCGGUUGUACAGCAUACGCCUCUUGGCUCAGUCUUUUUUUCCUCGUUUGGCCACCUUGGAAGUCUGACCACUUACUUUCCCAGCAUGGGCCAGGGAACAGUUCACAGGCUAGUAUGGUGAUGAUAAUUUAUAUAUUGUUAAUAAUAUGUCUGAUUAGACUUUUCAAAGUACUUUGAGUUCCUCUUUCUACAUGACAUCUGAAAAUAUUCUCGUUACGGAACUAUACUUUUGAAAAUAUAUCAUAUUUAAUGUUUAUUUAACGUCAUCUUUAUUUAACAUGGGCUUCCCAGGUGGCUCUGUGGUAAAGAAUCUGCCUGCCAAGCAGGAGACCUGGGUUGGGGAGAUCCCCUGGAGAAGGGACCGACUAGCCACUCCAGUAUUCUUGCCUGGAAAAUCCCAUGGAUGGAGGAGCCUGGCAGGCCACAGUCCAUGGGGUCGCAAAGAGUUGGAAGCGACUGAUCGGCUUCACCUACACAAGUAUCCUUUAAAUCAGGAAGAAAAAGACUCCAAACCCAGUGUAAUAAUAAGCAUUAGAGGUGUACAGUUUUGCUAAGGAAGUCCAGAUGAAUAAUAGAUAUGAAAAUGUGUUUAUUGUCAUCAGUGAUCAGGAAUUCAAAUCAAAGGAGUCAAAUUGAUGUUUGGGUGGGUAGAGAUGGAGGUCCAGAAAAUAGUGUUUUUAUUCUGGCAGAUUGGCAAAAAUCACAAGGAUUAGUAGGGCUGGUGUUGGUUGGCUGGUGAGGAAAUCACUGCCUUCAUGCACUGUUGAUGACAGUGUAAACUGGCAUAAGCUUUUGGUACAGGUUAUAAUCUUUGUGUUUUGACCCCCCAGGCACUCAGAAUCUCCUUGGCUUCUUUUAUUCUGGUAUCUGGUAUACAGAACAUUGUGUGGUCUUUCUGUGGCCAGAACAGCCCUUUAUUUAGUCAUCCUUUAUAGAAAAUUGCUUCCUAAGGUGGGAAGGUCAGGAGUCAUUUCUUUGGUUUUUUUAUAAAGCUGAACUGACGCAUACGCAGUGACCCUCCUGAGUGAGAUAGAUCUGGCUAGCAGAGAGAAAGACAGGAGUUUCUUUACUCUCACUCAUUUUAUAUGACUUGCAGGAAAGAGUAAAGCUGGGCGCUCAGGUUGGGCACAGAAGAGAAAUACAGUAACACAUUAGAAAUAAGACCCAAAGCCUAUGACCUAGUACUUUUGCUGAAAUAGUUACAAAACAGCCUGUCCUUUGGAGAAAUGCUGCAGUGACCCCUGCUGACUCAGAAGAGAGCUGUGUUGGUCUAACAGUUUCAGCUAUGAAGUAUAUGUUUACUUUUAUAAUGAAUUUAGAAGACAUUGUUAAAGGUAGAUUUUGUGUGGAAUUAUUGAUAUAAAAUAAGUUUUGCGAAGCUGUGCUCACAAAAAUUUGAAAAUAUAAGGGCGCAGAUCAAGCAUGUGUAAAUGCGGUCUCAUUCAUGGCACUUAUUUUAGUGAGCAAACUACCUUUCAUUUAACAACAAAAGAUGUCUGAAAACUGUUACCAGGCCAGUAUUCAACUGAAGCAAAAAGCAGAUAUAUAAAGAGCAAACUUUUCUGCAGAAGAAAGAUUCAAGUUAGUUAGUCUGAACGUAAUCAACUCAUCACUUCGACAUGACGUCAUGAUGUGUAUUCUCUAAAUCCAAGGACAAAUAAAUACAAGAGAAUUUGAAGAUAAGAGACUUACCUUGAAUUCUGAUGGACAUAUUCACCAUGGGAUCUCAGGGCUGGUCUUUUAUAUGAGCCUAAAGAUGUCCUCGUUGGAAAAGACCCUCAUACUGGGAAAGAUUGAACACAAAGGGAGAAAAGCCCAGCAGACGAUGAGAUGUUUGGAUAUCAAGCAUCACUGACUCAAUGGACAUCAAUUUGAGCAAACUCCGGGAGAUCCUGAAGGACAGGGAAAUCUUGACAUGCUGCAGUCCACAGGGUCGCAAAGAGUUGGGCACUGCGGUGACUGAGCAACCAC